UCGAGGGGCAGCAUUUCAGUUUGCUUGCAAACUGGAGAUGGCGACCGGCGCACGGGUGAGUAACACGUAUCCAACCUGCCGAUAACUCGGGGAUAGCCUUUCGAAAGAAAGAUUAAUACCCGAUGGUAUAAUNANACCGCAUGGUCUUGUUAUUAAAGAAUUUCGGUUAUCGAUGGGGAUGCGUUCCAUUAGGCAGUUGGUGAGGUAACGGCUCACCAAACCUUCGAUGGAUAGGGGUUCUGAGAGGAAGGUCCCCCACAUUGGAACUGAGACACGGUCCAAACNNNNNNGGGAGGCAGCAGUGAGGAAUAUUGGUCAAUGGGCGCAGGCCUGAACCAGCCAAGUAGCGUGAAGGAUGACUGCCCUAUGGGUUGUAAACUUCUUUUAUAUGGGAAUAAAGUUUUCCACGUGUGGAAUUUUGUAUGUACCAUAUGAAUAAGGAUCGGCUAACUCCGUGCCAGCAGCCGCGGUAAUACGGAGGAUCCGAGCGUUAUCCGGAUUUAUUGGGUUUAAAGGGAGCGUAGGUGGACAGUUAAGUCAGUUGUGAAAGUUUGCGGCUCAACCGUAAAAUUGCAGUUGAUACUGGCUGUCUUGAGUACAGUAGAGGUGGGCGGAAUUCGUGGUGUAGCGGUGAAAUGCUUAGAUAUCACGAAGAACUCCGAUUGCGAAGGCAGCUCACUGGACUGCAACUGACACUGAUGCUCGAAAGUGUGGGUAUCAAACAGGAUUAGAUACCCUGGUAGUCCACACAGUAAACGAUGAAUACUCGCUGUUUGCGAUAUACAGUAAGCGGCCAAGCGAAAGCAUUAAGUAUUCCACCUGGGGAGUACGCCGGCAACGGUGAAACUCAAAGGAAUUGACGGGGGCCCGCACAAGCGGAGGAACAUGUGGUUUAAUUCGAUGAUACGCGAGGAANCCUUACCCGGGCUUAAAUUGCAUUUGAAUAUAUUGGAAACAGUAUAGCCGUAAGGCAAAUGUGAAGGUGCUGCAUGGUUGUCGUCAGCUCGUGCCGUGAGGUGUCGGCUUAAGUGCCAUAACGAGCGCAACCCUUAUCUUUAGUUACUAACAGGUCAUGCUGAGGACUCUAGAGAGACUGCCGUCGUAAGAUGUGAGGAAGGUGGGGAUGACGUCAAAUCAGCACGGCCCUUACGUCCGGGGCUACACACGUGUUACAAUGGGGGGUACAGAAGGCAGCUACCUGGUGACAGGAUGCUAAUCCCAAAAGCCUCUCUCAGUUCGGAUCGAAGUCUGCAACCCGACUUCGUGAAGCUGGAUUCGCUAGUAAUCGCGCAUCAGCCAUGGCGCGGUGAAUACGUUCCCGGGCCUUGUACACACCGCCCGUCAAGCCAUGAAAGCCGGGGGUACCUGAAGUACGUAACCGCAAG
rnacentral:rRNA from 1 species